GUGUUAUCUAUUUAAUAUUUCAAUUGCUUAAUAAAUAUUUAUUUAUAUCGUUGUUAACCUAAAGUGUUAUAUAUAUAUAUAUUGUAGUGCGACCCUUGGUAGUUCCUCUAAGGGAAUAUAAAUUAAAUAGGAAACUUCAGUACCUAAGGUAGAUAUAGCCUAGCCAGCUAUCCCCCGUUGGUCCCUUAGAAUACUGUCGACGGGCAUUUAGGCUCAACCCCUAAAUAGCGACGUAACAGAAUAUAUUAGUAUGUGACUAUUAAUAGUCAUUAAUGACUUCUGUAUAAAAAUCAGUAGAAUAACAAUAGAUUAGAAUUAGAACAAUCUAAUACAAUUAUAAUUAAACAAGGCAACAUAAAAAAAAAGUCAAUCCCGCUAGUAUUGAAUUAACUGACUCCAAAAUACACCGUCUACUAAUUUUAUGUACAGUGUAAAAAUUGUACCGAUAAUGCCAAACACAAUAGCACUAGCGUAUCGUAUGUUAGACCGACUUGUGGUACGGUUGAUAAGGCGAUAAAUUUACCUAUUAUUGUAUUAUAUUUAUAAUAUUAUUAUAUUAGCGGUAUUGUCCGCUACUAAAUCUGUAUCUUUUGAACGAUUAAAAACACAUUUGGAGAAAUAGUGUAGUACAGUUUCUUUAUAGUUUUCAAAAAUAAAUCUAUAAAUUAUGUUUGUCAUAUUUUUAUUUUUAACACAAUAAUUAAACGCAUUGUGUCCAUCCUAAUCUAGAGUUUCUCAUUGUUUUUAGCAUUCAAAAUCAAAUAAAGUAGGCAUGGAGUUAAAAAGCAAUACACUUCAUAUUGUGAAUUUCAAAAAUGUACAAGUCACGGCAAAGAAUCUAUAGAUCUUGUGCCAGCAUCUCUGGGUCUAUAAAGUUAAUGGAAAGUUCUUUUGUAAAUUCCCAAAUAAAUCUCAAUACAAAAAUAUUGUUCUUAUUACAAAAGCCGGAAUUGUUCCAGAUGAAUCAUGGAAGAGUUUUGAAGUGUCACUUAUGAAAGAGGCUAAGAAAUAGUUAUGAUCAAGGAUUUAGGAGAAUGAGUAGGGACUUUGAGGAUCCUAAUGUUAUAAAAAGCAGUACGUUCGAACAGACAAAUUCAGACCAAGAAAUAUUUUUUAAA